rnacentral:rRNA from 1 species
GACGUAGGGCGCGAGCGUUGUCCGGAUUUAUUGGGCGUAAAGAGCUCGUAGGCGGCUUGUCGCGUCGACUGUGAAAACCCGGGGCUUAACUUCGGGCUGGCAGUCGAUACGGGCGGGCUGGAGUUCGGUAGGGGAGACUGGAAUUCCUGGUGUAGCGGUGAAAUGCGCAGAUAUCAGGAGGAACACCGGUGGCGAAGGCGGGUCUCUGGGCCGAUACUGACGCUGAGGAGCGAAAGCGUGGGGAGCGAACAGG